ensembl:lncRNA
CGAAGGUGAAGUUCCACUUGUAUGCAAACGUAAACCCUAAAUUUAACCCUAAACAUGGCCAUGCCUAACUUAAGACACAGAUGAAGAGUCCAUGAAACACUGAACACUGAUGAACACUGAUGAAGAGUCCAAAACACUGCCUCAUUUUUAUUUAUUUAUUUCUAUUAACAGGUGAAAGAGAUGGAGAUGAUGGAGAAGCGUGUCAAGCCUCUUUGUCUCUUUUUGAUGUUCGGUGAGGUGUUCGCUCUGGGCGAAGUCUCAGGGUCACAGGGAACCUGGAGCCUAUCCCAGGGAGCAUCGGGCACAAGGCGGGGUACACCCUGGACAGGAUGCCGGUCAAUAUUGAUUCAGCGCAAUCAAAACAUUUUCCUGUUUUUCAUUUACAUUAUUAACAUAAAUGACUGUACAGUUUACAGUAUAUGAGGUACCUGCUGGACUGGACUGGAUAUUAUGGAGUGACUAAUCUAUAAAUACAUACAGUAUAUAUCAGAAAUACAUAUAUACACACACAUAAAUAGGUCACAUAUUUCCCCAUAACAAUCUCAUCCAAACUUAAAUACUUAACAACCACUGGCAACAGCUAUUCUCAGCACUAGGCUCGGAGGAUUUGCCUCUUUGCCAAUACUGGUAUAGUGUAAUCUGUUGCAUUGAUCAUUAAUAUAAGUUGUUGUAGGGUUGUACUCUUUACAACCAGUAACAAUUAUUGUUAGUGAGUUGUAAUUAAGGUACAAAAU